UGGGGAAUAUUGCACAAUGGGCGCAAGCCUGAUGCAGCCAUGCCGCGUGCGUGAAGAAGGCCUUCGGGUUGUAAAGCACUUUCAGCGGGGAGGAAGGCGUUAAGGUUAAUAACCUUGGCGAUUGACGUUACCCGCAGAAGAAGCACCGGCUAACUCCGUGCCAGCAGCCGCGGUAAUACGGAGGGUGCAAGCGUUAAUCGGAAUUACUGGGCGUAAAGCGCACGCAGGCGGUCUGUCAAGUCGGAUGUGAAAUCCCCGGGCUCAACCUGGGAACUGCAUUCGAAACUGGCAGGCUAGAGUCUUGUAGAGGGGGGUAGAAUUCCAGGUGUAGCGGUGAAAUGCGUAGAGAUCUGGAGGAAUACCGGUGGCGAAGGCGGCCCCCUGGACAAAGACUGACGCUCAGGUGCGAAAGCGUGGGGAGCAAACAGG
rnacentral:rRNA from 1 species